rnacentral:rRNA from 1 species
GCCAGCGGCAAUAGAACGUUGAAUGCACCAGUUCCCCAUGGUUCACUGAAGUUGAGCAAUGUUGCGCGUGGUUGGUAUCCGGAUGGGUGACCAACUGGGGACUUUGCUGUUGGCU